rnacentral:rRNA from 1 species
GACGAACGCUGGCGGCGUGCUUAACACAUGCAAGUCGAACGGAGUUGCGAACGGGUGAGUAACACGUUGGUGAUCUGCCUUGCACUCUGUGAUAAGCUUGUGAAACUGGGUCUAAUACCGGAUAGUGCAAGAUGAUCUCGUGGCCUAUCAGCUUGUUGGUGGGGUAAUGGCCUACCAAGGCGUCGACGGGUAGCCGGCCUGAGAGGGUGUACGGCCACAGUGGGACGUAGAUACGGCCCAGACCCCUACGGGAGGCAGCAGGGGGGAAUAUUGCACAAGGGGCGGAAGCCUGAUGCAGCGACGCCGGGUGGGGGAUGACGGCCUUCGGGUUGUAAACUCCUUGCGACAGGGACGCGGUACCUGUAUAAGAAGCACCGGCUAACUACGUGCCAGCAGCCGCGGUAAUUC